GAUGAAGAACGUAGCGAAAUGCGAUAAGUAAUGUGAAUUGCAGAAUUCAGUGAAUCAUCGAAUCUUUGAACGCACAUUGCGCCCGCUAGUAUUCUGGCGGGCAUGCCUGUCCGAGCGUCAUUUCAACCCUCAAGCCCCCGGGCUUGGUGUUGGGGAUCGGCGAGCCUCCGCGCCCGCCGUCCCCUAAAUCUAGUGGCGGUCUCGCUGUAGCUUCCUCUGCGUAGUAGCACACCUCGCACUGGGAAACAGCGCGGCCACGCCGUUAAACCCCCAACUUCUGAACGUUUGACCUCGGGUCAGGUAGGAAUACCCGCUGAACUUAAGCAUAUCAAUAAGCGGAGGA
rnacentral:misc_RNA from 1 species